ensembl:lncRNA
AUGGUAUGUCUGCAAAACUUUCUAUGGUAUGCAGCACUGCACCAGUCUGACAGGCUGCCAAUUAAGACUUACCAAUGGGCCAACAUUGCUCUGCAUGACUUGGACAGCAAGUGUUGUGGACCCUGUUUCUUCUCGCGAGAGUUCCAUCGCGAUGUGCCAGGGAAUCCCGUUAUGUCAUCUCAAUCAGCUAAUUUUACAACGCCGAUAAAAGAAGCCAGUUUAUCAGUGUUCGAGGAGAAAUGCUCUUUGUGCUCAAAUUAGGACUAUAGCGAUAAGUCGCGUCUGUCUGUGACUCUGAGUUCCCUCCUUGUGGAAAUAACUGAUCUUGUGGGAUUAUUUUGCCUUGGAUUUUGUCACAGGACAGCGCUGUUCCUCAAUGUGCUACUGGACUCAAAACGUGUUUCUGGUGAGGCCGACCCAUAACACACACACACAUUGGACUUUAAAAGACAGUACAAAUGCACGGACAUUCAUUUAUUGUAUAUAUUGUAAAUAUAGUUUACUUCUUGUAAAACACACUCUGGGUUGACAAUUAUUCUUUGUUUUGAAAGUGAAAAAAAGUCGUGACAUUUGCCCAGUAUGGUAACUCGGAAUUGGUGCUCUGCAUUUAACCCAUCCAAGUGCACACACACACCUGGAGCAGUGGGCAGCUAUAUCCAGCGCCCGGGGAGCAACUGGGGGUUCAGUGCCUUGCUCAAGGGCACUACAGCCAUGGGUAUUGAGGGUGGAAGAGAACGCUGUUCAUUCACUCCCUCCCAACUACAACUCCUGCCAGCACCGAGACUCGAACCUGCGACCUUCGGGUUACAAGUCCAACUCUCUAACCAUUAGGCCACAGCUGCCCCAGUGGUGGUUACUUAUUGUGCCUGCAUUCAUUCAAACACACUAUUAACAGAUAAAAGGACAAACUUUAUUUGUGUAGCCUGCCUUAUUUAGGCCGAGCAUUACAUGCUGGACCUUGUGUCAACCUUUUUGAUUGAUAAUGACCUUUGACCUGUUUGACCUUGUGACCUUGGGAUGAUGUCCAUUCCGCAAACGAAAGGUUUAAAGAAAAAAAAAAUGUUUAAGUAGCAAUAUAAACAAAGCUCACAGGUCCUUCCAGGGAUAAACUCCAUUGUGAAAUGGAUUGAAUGCUUCAGACCCACUCAGAGAUGGGCAGAGUUACAGACUAAAUGAGCCCCUGCGGUCCAUUACAGUGCAUGUGUCAAGUUAGUCUGUAAAACCCCUUUCCAG